GGAGGAAAGCAGGGGAUCGCAAGACCUUGCGCUUUUGGAGCGGCCGAUGUCUGAUUAGCUAGUUGGUGAGGUAAAGGCGUACCAAGGCUUCGAUCAGUAGCUGGUCUGAGAGGACGACCAGCCACACUGGGACUGAGACACGGCCCAGACUCCUACGGGAGGCAGCAGUGGGGAAUUUUGGACAAUGGGGGAAACCCUGAUCCAGCCAUGCCGCGUGAGUGAAGAAGGCCUUCGGGUUGUAAAGCUCUUUCAGCCGGAACGAAACGGUCACGGCUAAUACCUGUGACCACUGACGGUACCGGAAGAAGAAGCACCGGCUAACUACGUGCCAGCAGCCGCGGUAAUACGUAGGGUGCGAGCGUUAAUCGGAAUUACUGGGCGUAAAGCGUGCGCAGGCGGUUUUGUAAGUCAGAUGUGAAAUCCCCGGGCUUAACCUGGGAACUGCGUUUGAAACUACAAAGCUAG
rnacentral:rRNA from 1 species